rnacentral:lncRNA from 1 species
GAUAAAGUGUGACACAGCUCUGGCAGCAGGCUUCUCCAGCAGGCUAUGUGUGUGCUGAGGAGUAGGAGAUGAGUGGAGAGGAACCAGUGGGGGGGUUCUGAUCAGCAGUCUGGGGCUCCCCUGCUGAGGGGCUCUGGAAUUAGGCCUAAACUCUGCCCUGCCAGAUGGCACCAGCACCACAUCAGCCCCACCACCACCCACCUUAGACGUCAGGGCCAGGCUGAGCCCUGCUCCCCCUGGCCUGCACUGGGCCCUGAGGACCAGACACUAGGGAGAUGGGACCCCUGGGGGAGCUCAGAGGCUGAGACCUUUAGCCCUGGAACUGUCCUACACUGCUAGCUUACAAGACUCCUACUGUACUUGCAAACAAAAUGAGGGAAAUCUGUGACAGCAGGCGAAGCCUGAGGGACUGGCUGGAGAGUGUGAUGAGGGGAUCGGCAGGGAUUAACCUGGGGAAUUUAAUUAGUGGAGCUGUCGUCCCUGCUCUUAACAGUUCAAUUUCCUUCUCUCUCCCUGCCUGCCUGGCAGGCUAGCUGGGGCCUGGCGCCGUG